AUGGCCCUGAGAUCCUCGACAGCGACGUCGCUGCUCUCCAGAACCCUCCGCCUCCUCGAACCUUCCGCGCACCGGGUCCCGCGGGUCGAAUCGAGAGCCGCGUCGUCGUCGACUGGCGGUGGGGAUCCGUCGGGCCAGGAGCCGGCGCCGGCGCCCAUGGACUCCCCGAUCAAGGUGUUCUCCGAUCUCCGCGGCGGCGGGGCCCGCGGCGCGGCGAUCGACGCGGGCGGGUCGGCGCGGAAGCCGGUCAGCCUGUGGCCCGGGAUGCACCACUCGCCGGUCACCAACGCGCUGUGGGAGGCGCGGUCCAGCAUCUUCGAGCGCAAGAUGGACGCCGGGGGCAACGCCGACGCGGGCCCGCAGACGGACCUGCUCACCAGGACCCCCGCGCAGAGCCGGACCUCCAUCGUCUACAAGUUCGCCGCCGACGACAUCCUCCGCGAGCAGUACCGCGACCCCUGGAACGAGAUGCGCAUCGGCAAGCUGCUCGAGGACCUCGACGCCCUCGCCGGCACCAUCGCCGUCAAGCACUGUUCUGAUGGUGAUAGCACAACAAGACCUCUUUUGUUAGUUACUGCUUCUGUGGACAAGAUGGUCUUAAUGAAGCCCCUUCGUCUGGACACUGAAGUAAAGAUUAUUGGGGCUGUUACUUACGUUGGCCGCUCUUCGAUUGAUAUACAGAUUGAAGUGACUCAGGUUGAUCAAGAUGGUGAUGUGCAGUCAGACCCAAUUGCAUUGACGGCUAACUUCACAUUUGUUGCACGAGAUUCAGUAACCGGAAAAUCUGCUCCUGUGAACCGCCUUUCACCAGAAACCGAGAGAGAGAAGCAGUUAUAUGCAGAGACAGAAGCACAGGAUAAGGUGAAGAAAAGGAAAAGGGAAGAACAGAAGGGAGUGCUUGAGAAGGGGGUACAGAAGCUUGGUGCUGAGGCUGAGAGGCUGAAGAAUUUACUGGCAGAGGGUCGUGUUUUCUCUGAUUUUCCUGCUUUGGCUGAUAGGGAUAGCAUAUUGAUGAAGGAUACUCGCCUGGAGAACUCUCUUAUCUGCCAACCUCAACAGCGAAACUUGUAUGGACGGAUAUUUGGAGGUUUCUUGAUGCACCGAGCAUUUGAGCUUGCUUUCUCGACUGCCUAUGCCUUUGUCGGGCAGAGACCGUGUUUUCUUGAGGUGGACCAUGUCGACUUCUUAAAGCCGGUGGAUGUUGGAGACUUCCUUCGAUUCAAAUCAUGUGUGUUGUUUACCCAGCUUGAGAAUAAAUGGCAGCCCCUGGUAAAUGUCGAAGUCGUCGCUCAUGUAACAAGGCCCGAGCUCCGAAAAAGCGAGAUCUCCAACACAUUCCACUUCACCUUCUCAGUCGGCAGCGACGCACUGAAGAAUGGAGUGAGUAUCCGCAACGUUGUUCCCUCAACCGAAGAAGAGGCACGCCGUAUAUUAAACCGCAUGGAUGGAGAGGGUUUGUUCGAUUGA
rnacentral:rRNA from 1 species